UACGGGGGGGGCAAGCGUUGUUCGGAAUUACUGGGCGUAAAGGGCUCGUAGGCGGCCAACUAAGUCGGACGUGAAAUCCCUCAGCUUAACUGGGGAACUGCGUCCGAUACUGGAUGGCUUGGAUUCGGGAGAGGGAUGCGGAAUUCCAGGUGUAGCGGUGAAAUGCGUAGAUAUUGGGAGGAACACCAGUGGCGAAGGCGGCUACCUGGACCGGUUCUGACGCUGAGGCGCGAAAGCGUGGGUAGCAAACAGG
rnacentral:rRNA from 1 species